UACGUAGGGGGCGAGCGUUGUCCGGAAUUAUUGGGCGUAAAGAGCGUGUAGGCGGUUCGGUAAGUCUGCCGUGAAAUCCUGGGGCUCAACCCCGGGCGUGCGGUGGAUACUGCCGGGCUAGAGGGUGGUAGAGGCGAGUGGAAUUCCCGGUGUAGCGGUGAAAUGCGCAGAUAUCAGGAAGAACACCUAUGGCGAAGGCAGCUCUCUGGGACGGUACUGACGCUGAGACGCGAAAGCGUGGGGAGCGAACAGG
rnacentral:rRNA from 1 species